rnacentral:rRNA from 1 species
CAGCCGCCGCGGGAAUACGUAGGUGGCAAGCGUUGUCCGGAAUUAUUGGGCGUAAAGGGCUCGCAGGCGGUUUCUUCAGUCUGACGUGAAAGCCCCCGGCUCAACCGGGGAGGGUCAUUGGAAACUGGGAAACUUGAGUGCAGAAGAGGAGAGUGGAAUUCCACGUGUAGCGGUGAAAUGCGUAGAGAUGUGGAGGAACACCAGUGGCGAAGGCGACUCUCUGGUCUGUAACUGACGCUGAGGAGCGAAAGCGUGGGGAGCGAACAGGAUUAGAUACCCCUGUAGUCCCUGUCUCUUAUAC